UCGCAGCUACGCCCAUCGCACGUGAUGAUUCCUCCUCAAUGUCCCUUUCUCCUUUCUGUGACUUCUUAUCGUCUUCCCCCAACGUCUCUCUCACCAGUACUAUCGUAGCAGCACCAGACCCGUCUUCCGUCCUUGCUACUUGGAGAUGGUGCCACGUGGCACAACAAGGACGUAGGAAUCAAUCGAAGGCGUCGAUUCCUUCCCUUCCCUUUCUGGAAUAAAGUUGAAACAUCAGAAAAGGAUGUUUGUUCAAAUUGGUGAUAGAUUUCAAAAUGUUGAAUUUCAUGGGCCAAAGGUGAUCCGAAUUUUUCAGCUUUCCCCAUAUCCAUAAACCCUAAUGCUUCCCCUAUAUAAUGUAUUUAUCUGUUCACAACAAGGGAGGAGGGGAUCUUGGGGGGAAAAGAUUUUUAAGUUAAGUUUUAGUCUUCUGGGAAUUUCUUGCUCUAGAAAAAUAGAAAGAUUUUGGGUGAGAGGAAAUUCUUUUUCGUAAAACAAAGAAGACAAAUACAUUAAAAACAGAGUUCCUGUAUAAAUCUGGGUCAGCCUUUGGCCCUCAUAUCGUUGGGUCUGUUCAAAUCCUAGGAGCCAUUUUUGGAGGUGGAAUCGCUGUUCUCCAAGCUCGCCAGCCAUCCCGGAAUCACUACACUUUGAAAGUCCUUAUUGGACUCCACGUCCCGCUUUGCAUUCCCCUGUCGAGCCAACAGGGCUGAAUCUACCCUCUGAGUCAUCCAUCCCCCUUCGAAAUUGGCUUACAGGUUAAGAGCAGCAAUACAUUGCUGAAAAUAAUUUUUCCAGGCCCGAAAAGUCGAAAAAACAGGGAGAUAUACAGCCUAUAUACACUGGUAUACAGUGUGAAUAUACUAUACACAGUUGGAAAACGUAGACAGGCAGUGAAAAACGCAAAAGUACAAAGUUUUGAAUGAAAUUUCAGGUCCGAGAGCAUAAAAAUCGUCAAUAUACAUAGCGUAUAUAUCGAACAUACACUCAAAGUGUAUCAUGGCUUUGAAAAAAAACAGGCCCAAAGGCCCCAAAAAUUACAGCAGCAGAAUUUGGGUCUAGGGCCCAAAAUUGAUAUUUCCUUCUCUUCUUAUUUAUUCAUCACGAUAUUUGACUAACUAUUUACGUGAUUUUGGUUUGAUUUAAAA